rnacentral:rRNA from 1 species
CCUACGGGGGGCAGCAGUGGGGAAUCUUGCGCAAUGGGCGAAAGCCUGACGCAGCCAUGCCGCGUGGAUGAUGAAGGUCUUAGGAUUGUAAAAUCCUUUCAGCGGGGACGCGGUACCCGCAGAAGAAGCCCCGGCUAACUUCGUGCCAGCAGCCGCGGUAAUACGAAGGGGGCUAGCGUUGCUCGGAAUUACUGGGCGUAAAGGGAGCGUAGGCGGGUCGUUUAGUCAGAGGUGAAAUCCCGGGGCUCAACCUCGGAACUGCCUUUGAUACUGGCGACCUUGAGUAUGGGAGAGGUAAGCGGAACUCCGAGUGUAGAGGUGAAAUUCGUAGAUAUUCGGAAGAACACCAGUGGCGAAGGCGGCUUACUGGCCAUACUGACGCUGAGGCUCGAAAGCGUGGGGAGCAAACAGGAUUAGAUACCCUUGUAGUC